CUCAAGGAGGGCUGGGAGCCAGAGGGACCUGAAAAAUACUGGAACUGGAGCAGGACCAGGGGUUCUGAGGGGAGCCAGGGGCACUGACAGUCACAGGAUUUGUCUGAAGGGAGCCUGCAGCUCAAGCCAGAUGUGCAAUCCUGACACAGAUCAGAGCACACACAGGUAAUGGUUGCAAAAACACACUUAGCUCCUUCUCAGCAUUACCACAACUCAACACCUCCCAAAAGUCCAGAGCCUUACUCAGACCAUGGCACACUUUGCCUGGGACACAGCUGAAAUAUUCCAAAUACAAUGCACAAGAAGCAUUCAUCUCUGGGAUAAAUCUCACUUAGUGAAGUUUUUGGAACCAGUACAGUCAUGUCUUGGUAACGUGAAGAAAAUCAACAGAGAGAGCAGCCAGAUUCCCUUAAAAUGAUGUUUUGGAUACAAGUGGGCUUGUUGCCUUGCUCCUCCUGGAAGCAUCUCCUUUGGAGAGACUGAAUGUGGUAAAAUGUAAAAGGCUGCAGCACUUCCUGUGUUAAAAAAGCUGAUUUUUAAUGACCUGCUCUAUUACCAUCCCAGCAGACGGGGAUUUGUAUGUGCAGCUGGGAAUCUAUUUUUGUGCUCUGCAUGAGUAUUGGGGCAGGUUUCAGGGUUGGGACCUCAGAGAAGUAAAUCAAAACUCUGCUUAAGUACUCAAACUCCUGUGGAGCUUAAAGUCUCUUUUUAUGACUGGAAUGCUUUUUCACAGAACUGGAAGUUUAGUGUUUCUGAGGCUUUCCUAAGUGAGGGCAAGAGUUAUUACAGUAAAGGUAGAGUAUCAUUCUUUAUUACAGCUUUUUAUACCACCCAGCUAACCUUCCUGAAUUUGUUUAUUAUGAAUUUCCCUGCUGAAACAGAUUUUGUAAUUAACGGUUUGUAUCUUUUCAUGCCAGGCUGGAGGGGGCUUGGAACAACCUGGACUAGUGGAAGGUGUCCCUGCUUGGUGCCAAGGCUAGCUGAAGGAUGAUUUUUUCCUUAUUGGGACACAUGCCAUGUUUGUCUCCAAUAUUUUUCUGGAAGAAACCAACAUUUUCUCGUUUAUCCCCGCAGAGGUGGCAGCGCUGAUGCCCCGCUCAGGCCGGAAUCCCGGGGCUGCCUGCCCUCCUGGCACUGGGAGGGGUCGGGCAGCGCCAUUCGUGUCCCGCUGUCCCCUUCCUGCCCUUCCUGCAGCGCGCUGGGUGUGGGACCAGCGCCGAGAAUGCCGUGGGAGCGCAGGAAGCGCCGAUCAGGGGAAGGCGAGCGGGGCUGGCCCGUGAGGAACCUUUGGUGCAGGAUGUCGGCAGGGUGCGGUGGGGUGGGGUGGGAGCGGCUGCUCCUGCUCCCGCUGCCCAGGCAAGGAGAGAAACCCACCCAGCGUGGGGGUUCCACACUCACAGCCUCGGUGCCUUCCCUGCUGGGGGAGUUUGAUGAACAGAGGUAAAAGCCUCUAAGGUUUGUCACAAGGAGCCUGCCAGGCUCAGAGCCGAGCCCUGGGCCCCCAUCCCUGACUCUGGAUGCGCUUCCUUCCCCCUCGCCCUCUCCUCCUUUUCCUGCUGUCCCAGUGACAGGGCAGUUCCCUUCCUCCCGAGGGCAGCCCGGGGACUGUGAGUAACCCAGGGUGACAGGGACACUGAGCCCUGUGACACAGCAGGGACAAUCCCCGCGCAGUUUCCUACCCUGCCGCAGAGAUCACGCUGCCGUAAUCUGCCCUUCAUCUGAAUUUACAAAACAGUUUGACUUGGGAAAAACAAAAGUUCAUGUGCUGAACAGGUCCAGGUCAAGGCUGGGGCAUGUUUGUAAAUGUGUACAAGCACAAGAUUUUGUGCCUCCACAACAUUUAGGAAAUGUAUUUCCUUUGAGUUCUGAAGGUUUUGGACCCUUACAAGCUGGAAGUGCAUCCUGCAAGAGCCCAGGUUGCUUCAGGCUCUUUGGUGAAAUGAAGCUGUGCCGUGUGUCAGAGCUGAAGCAGAGGAGCUGAGGUGAAUUACCUGCCCUGGGGGGAUGCAUCCACUGCUGGAGAGCCAGGACAUUCUGGGAAGCUCCCAAGGUUUGCACCACACUUCUGCCACAGCUGACUUGGACCCUGUGGAACUGGAAGCAAGGCUUGGUGCAGGCAGGGGCUCUGAAAAGCAUUCUGAGCCUUAACCAGCAGGAGGAUGGGGGAGCCCAGCUGAACAUUUGGAUGUAACAAUCUGGUGAAAUCUCAGCUUUUCCAAAGCUCAGUGUGGGCAGUGUGGUGCUUUUCAUGAGUGUGGAGUGCCUGGCCAGUGUUGAUCCUGUACAAGCUCCAAGGGAAGGGUGAGGGCUGUGAGCUCAGCGUGGUUUGAUCCAUCCAGCAGCUGCCCAAGGGCCUUCCAGACAUGCCAGGCUCCAGGAGCAGCUUGUGGAGAGCAGCAGAGGGACCCAGCAGCUCCAUCCCCCUUGGAGGCACUCCAAGCAGAAAGCUCUUCCCCUUUGAUCCCUGGGAAAGAAAGGGAGGGAGCUGGGGUGGUCUGGCAGAGCUCCCCCACCCCAGCAACAGCCCCAUCCCAGAGAGGAGUGACAGGGCUGUGCUCACCAUGCCCUCUGCUCCACUGAGGGAUGCGCCAGAAAUGCUGCCAGGGGCACUCAGGUUUGCUGGUUUUCCUGUAAAGUGAGAGUUUUCAGGAGAGACAGCAAAUGAAAUUGGGAACAGGUUCACGUCUCAAUGUCUAUUUAAUAUCUAAAAAGUGGUUCUGGCUUGGAAAAUGGGCCUUUGGUACCAUCAAAUGUUCACAGAAUUAUGGAACUCCAGACUGGAUGGGUUGGAAGGGGCCUUAAAUCUCUCAUUCCCAGCCCCUGCCAUGGCAGGGACACCUCCCACUGUCCCAGGUGCUCCAGCCUGGCCUUGGCACUGCCAGGGACCCAGGGGCAGCCACAGCUGCUCUGGGAAUCCCAGCCCAGCCCCUCCCCACCCUCCCAGGGAGGGAUUUGGGUUAUAAAACCA